AAUCAUACUACCUGAUGUAUGGACUUUUACACCAGGCUUUUACCCUGCACGAGCUGGCCAACUUGAGGGGAACUGAAGUGGGCAAACCUCGCCCUGUCGUUGAACAAGAAAGCUGGAUUUGUUGAGAGAGUAUCAUUUAAGCUGAAAUCCAGCAUGAAACCAGGGAGGUGAUGGCCAUCGCACAGGCCAUGUGCCGACUAUUCACUUUCCACCAGCUUGUGACUUGCUCCAUGAAGGGAGCAACAACUACAAAGGGGUCACCAAGACCAAGCCUCCCCGCUGCUGAGAGAAAUGCAAUCAUUGAUGUCAUAGCCAAAACCUUUGACAAGCCUUCGGUUGAUGUUGAAGAAAAGAUGAGAGGUUGUUUAAGGCAUCUGCGGCUGAUGCACAAGUAGACUGAAGUCUUUGUAAAUAAAAUGUGCUGUUAAAAUGAUUAUUUAACCAUUGUUUUCACUUUGUUAUAUAGAUUUGCACCUGUUUCAACAACAUUAACUUAUUUUCAUGCUCCCGGUAGGAUCUCAUAUAGCAGUUGAACUGUCCGUCUGUCUGUCUAUCCGUCCGAAAACUUUAGCAUUGGUCAUAACUUUUGCAAUAUUGAAGAAAGCAACUUGAUAUUUAGCAUGCAUGUGUAUCUCAUUGAGCUGCACAUUUUGAGUGGUGCAAGGUCAAGGUCAUCCUUCAAGGUCAGAGGUCAAAAUCCAAUGGAAGAAAUAAGCAAAGAGAGAUAAUUUCUAUACCUGCCAAAUGAUAAAUAGAAAUUUUAUUUCAAAGCGGUGCAGUAGGGGGCAUUGUGUUUCUGACGAACACAUCCACAUCUCUUGUUUGUAUUUAUUCCAUACAAUCUUACUUUUUUCAGUUCUUUCUUUGUGUUCAAUGUUAUGUUAUAACACUAUUAUAUUUUAUUAUAACAAUGCCAUGUCUGUCAAAAUAGUUUUAUCAUGCUGUGUAUAUGGAUAUAUAUGUAAAGUUUUAUGUUUUAUCGUUUAAAAAAAAGUAAUUAGAAUUUAAUUUAUGAUAUUUUUGUUCUUAUCAUAAAAAAGUUUUUCAGUUUUCAAGUGGGUGAAAAGUGGGUUUUUACUGAGCAUUUAACAGGUUUUAAAGCUAGUUUUAACUGCGUUUAAUCUGUGAAAAGCACACAUUUAGCUCACUUAAUGCUCAAAUAAAAACCCACUUUUAACUCGCUUAAGAACAGGAAAAACCAACUUGAUGUGUAGAAGCGGGUGUAAAAGCCAACAUAAAGAAGGAGAGCACACUAACUUAUAACCAACUUAAGUUGGUAAAACUCGGUUUUAAAGCGUGUUUUAACUGCGUUUAAUCUGAGUUAAGCACACAUUUAGCUCACUUAACACUCAAACAAAACCCCACUUUUAACUCGCUUAAGAACAGGAAAAACCGACUUGAUGUGUAGAAGCGGGUUUAAAAGCCAACAUAGAGAAGGAAAACACACUCACUUUUAACCCACUUAAGUGGGUUUAAGUUAGUUUUAGUUGGUUUAAGUUGGUAUAAGAAGGUAUAAGCGUGUUGGUUUAUGUGAGUGAAAUCCAGGUUUUACCUACAAAAAACCAAGUCGGUAAGCAAAAAGUGUGUUUAAAAGACACGCUUUAACCCGGUGCCAAUACCGCAGGGUUUAACACGGUUUUAACACGGAUUAAAACCGGGUUUUGCCCACUUUUUUGACAAGGGUA